UAGGGAAUCUUCGGCAAUGGACGGAAGUCUGACCGAGCAACGCCGCGUGAGUGAAGAAGGUUUUCGGAUCGUAAAGCUCUGUUGUUAGAGAAGAACAGUGAUGAGAGUGGAAAGUUCAUCGCGUGACGGUAUCUAACCAGAAAGGGACGGCUAACUACGUGCCCG
rnacentral:rRNA from 1 species